CUUCUUCUUUUUCUUUUUCUUGAUUUUCAUGAACUAUUGUUUUAGCGAAGAAGCCAGAGUGCACCAAUAGACGCAUAAGCCUGUGCAAGCAGCUAUUUUUUCAGGGUGAAUGUUAAGCUUAGAGACCAACUCUUGGAGAGUAAUGGGUUGGCCAUGGUUGUGGAUUGUGUCAGGAAUGCCUAGCUGAAUUGCACAUUUAAGUGACAUGGAAU